rnacentral:rRNA from 1 species
GCGUUAAUCGGAAUUACUGGGCGUAAAGCGUGCGCAGGCGGUUCUUCAAGUCCUUUGUGAAAGCCCCGGGCUCAACCUGGGAAUGGCAGUGGAAACUAGGGGACUGGAAUCUGGCAGAGGGGGGUGGAAUGCCGCGUGUAGCAGUGAAAUGCGUAGAGAUGCGGCGGAACACCGAUGGCGAAGGCAGCCCCCUGGGCUGAGAUUGACGCUCAGGCACGAAAGCGUGGGGAGCAAACAGG